rnacentral:rRNA from 1 species
GACGAACGCUGGCGGCGUGCUUAACACAUGCAAGUCGAACGGAAAGGCCCUGCUUUUGUGGGGUGCUCGAGUGGCGAACAGGUGAGUAACACGUGAGUAACCUGCCCUUGACUUUGGGAUAACUUCAGGAAACUGGGGCUAAUACCGGAUAGGAGCUCCUGCUGCAUGGUGGGGGUUAGAAAGUUUCGGCGGUUGGGGAUGGACUCGCGGCUUAUCAGCUUGUUGGUGGGGUAGUGGCUUACCAAGGCUUUGACGGGUAGCCGGCCUGAGAGGGUGACCGGCCACAUUGGGACUGAGAUACGGCCCAGACUCCUACGGGAGGCAGCAGUGGGGAAUAUUGCACAAUGGGCGGAAGCCUGAUGCAGCAACGCCGCGUGCGGGAUGACGGCCUUCGGGUUGUAAACCGCUUUCGCCUGUGACGAAGCGUGAGUGACGGUAAUGGGUAAAGAAGCACCGGCUAACUACGUG